AGCAGAACGAUGGCCGAGUGGUUAAGGCGUUGGACUUAAGUUCCAAUGGACAGCUAUUCGCGUGGGUUCGAUCCCCACUCGUGCUA